AAAUUGAAGAGUUUGAUCAUGGCUCAGAUUGAACGCUGGCGGCAGGCCUAACACAUGCAAGUCGAACGGUAACAGGAAGCAGCUUGCUGCUUCGCUGACGAGUGGCGGACGGGUGAGUAAUGUCUGGGAAACUGCCUGAUGGAGGGGGAUAACUACUGGAAACGGUAGCUAAUACCGCAUAACGUCGCAAGACCAAAGAGGGGGACCUUCGGGCCUCUUGCCAUCGGAUGUGCCCAGAUGGGAUUAGCUAGUAGGUGGGGUAACGGCUCACCUAGGCGACGAUCCCUAGCUGGUCUGAGAGGAUGACCAGCCACACUGGAACUGAGACACGGUCCAGACUCCUACGGGAGGCAGCAGUGGGGAAUAUUGCACAAUGGGCGCAAGCCUGAUGCAGCCAUGCCGCGUGUAUGAAGAAGGCCUUCGGGUUGUAAAGUACUUUCAGCGGGGAGGAAGGGAGUAAAGUUAAUACCUUUGCUCAUUGACGUUACCCGCAGAAGAAGCACCGGCUAACUCCGUGCCAGCAGCCGCGGUAAUACGGGGGGUGCAAGCGUUAAUCGGAAUUACUGGGCGUAAAGCGCACGCAGGCGGUUUGUUAAGUCAGAUGUGAAAUCCCCGGGCUCAACCUGGGAACUGCAUCUGAUACUGGCAAGCUUGAGUCUCGUAGAGGGGGGUAGAAUUCCAGGUGUAGCGGUGAAAUGCGUAGAGAUCUGGAGGAAUACCGGUGGCGAAGGCGGCCCCCUGGACGAAGACUGACGCUCAGGUGCGAAAGCGUGGGGAGCAAACAGGAUUAGAUACCCUGGUAGUCCACGCCGUAAACGAUGUCGACUUGGAGGUUGUGCCCUUGAGGCGUGGCUUCCGGAGCUAACGCGUUAAGUCGACCGCCUGGGGAGUACGGCCGCAAGGUUAAAACUCAAAUGAAUUGACGGGGGCCCGCACAAGCGGUGGAGCAUGUGGUUUAAUUCGAUGCAACGCGAAGAACCUUACCUGGUCUUGACAUCCACAGAACUUUCCAGAGAUGGAUUGGUGCCUUCGGGAACUGUGAGACAGGUGCUGCAUGGCUGUCGUCAGCUCGUGUUGUGAAAUGUUGGGUUAAGUCCCGCAACGAGCGCAACCCUUAUCCUUUGUUGCCAGCGGUCCGGCCGGGAACUCAAAGGAGACUGCCAGUGAUAAACUGGAGGAAGGUGGGGAUGACGUCAAGUCAUCAUGGCCCUUACGACCAGGGCUACACACGUGCUACAAUGGCGCAUACAAAGAGAAGCGACCUCGCGAGAGCAAGCGGACCUCAUAAAGUGCGUCGUAGUCCGGAUUGGAGUCUGCAACUCGACUCCAUGAAGUCGGAAUCGCUAGUAAUCGUGGAUCAGAAUGCCACGGUGAAUACGUUCCCGGGCCUUGUACACACCGCCCGUCACACCAUGGGAGUGGGUUGCAAAAGAAGUAGGUAGCUUAACCUUCGGGAGGGCGCUUACCACUUUGUGAUUCAUGACUGGGGUGAAGUCGUAACAAGGUAACCGUAGGGGAACCUGCGGUUGGAUCACCUCCUUA
rnacentral:rRNA from 1 species